AUCUCUGUAGCGCAUCGGAUAGCGCGUUAGACAUCUAAUCUAAAGGUCGUAGGUUCGAAUCCUACCUGGAAUG